UCCUCUCUCUCUCUCUCUCUCUCUCUCUCUCUCUCUCUCUCUCUCUCUCUCUCUCACUCUCUCUCUCUCUCUCUCUCUCUCUCUCUCUCUCUCUCUCUCUCUCUCAUUGUGUAGUGUUUUCCAAGGUGUGUUUCAGUCCCUCUUUAUUUCACAGUGUUUCAUAGUUUUUUUUAUUUUUUUAUUGUUAUUGAAGUGUUUCCUAAAGUGUGUUUUUCAUUGUGAUUGUCAUGGUGUUUUGUGUUCUUGUUAUUUUUAAACUGCUGAAAUAUAGUGUUUGGUGCAUUCUUUCAGGUUUUUCAAAGUGUUUUUUUUAUUGUUAUUUUUGUUGCAGUGUUUUAAAAAGUUGUCUGUUUGGUGUAUCAUUUCAUCAUGUUAGUCUUUUUUUUUUUCUUCUCUCUGUUAUUGCUGAAGUGUUUCUGGAAAAAGUGCUUUGUUUGAUAUUUCAUCGUUUUCUUUCUUUGUUUCUUUCUAAUUACUGAAAAUGUUUUUAAAAAGUGUUCAUCAUUUCAUCAUGUUUUUUUAAUUGUUUUAUUAUUAUUAUUAUUAUUAUUAUUAUUAUUAUUAUUAUUAUUAUUAUUAUUAUUAUUAUCAUCAUCAUUAUUAUUAUUGUUCUUACUGAAGUGUUUUUAAAAGUCUGUGUUGUGCAUUCCAUCAUGUUCUUUUUAAUUUUUUCCCUAUGAAUAAUGUUGGAAGUGUUUACAGAAAGCUUGUGGGUGCAUCAUUUCAUCAUGUUUCCGUAGUGUGUGUGUUUUACAAGUGUGUGUGUCUCAAAGUGUUCAGUAGCUUCUCUGCACCUCUCCUGCCCCUCCCAGUGUGUUCAGAUUGCAUUGAGGUGUUCUGAAGGUUCCUCACUCCCCUCCUGCCCCUCCCAGUGUGUUGAGGUGUUCCAGAAGGCUCCUCACUCCCCUCCUGCCCCUCCCAUUGUGUUGAGGUGUUCCAUAGGCCUGCUAACACCCCUCCUGUUCCUCCCAGUGUGUUGAGGUGUCCCAGAAGGCUCCUCACUCCCUUCCCAGCACUGGUGUCUCUCAUUAUGUUUUAUGUUAAUAGUUUGGUUAAGGUACUUUGACUCGCCUCAUUUUUUUAUCCAAGUGUAUUUUUAGUCCAGAAUUGCAAGGUACAUAUGCAUAAUUACUCUUUUUAACUGCUUCUUUCACCUGUUUCUUAGUGUUCUGUAUCCAGUGGCUUGAGCUGUGGCAGUAGCUGAGGCAGGGGAGGACAGGGACACAGGAACACAGGGAUGAAGGGGCACUGGCAGCUGAUACUCUCACUUACUGUCUCACUGACUGACUGACUGGUGUUUGCAUUCCCUCCCGUCUUUUGAAGUGUGUGGGAAGCUAAUAUAUUUCUACCCA